rnacentral:rRNA from 1 species
GACGAACGCUGGCGGCGUGCUUAACACAUGCAAGUCGAACGGGCCUGUCUUCUUUUUUGGGGGGUGGGUUGAGUGGCGAACGGGUGAGUAUCACGUGAGUAACCUGCCCUUCGGUCCUGGAUAACCGCUUGAAAGGGCGGCUAAUACGGGGUGGUCCGGUUGGUCCGCACGGGCUGGUCGGGAUAGAUUCACUGUUUUUGGUGUUUCGGCGGGGGAUGGGCUCGCGGCCUAUCAGCUUGUUGGUGGGGUGAUGGCCUACCAAGGCGGUGACGGGUAGCCGGCCUGAGAGGGUGGGCGGCCACACUGGGACUGAGAUACGGCCCAGACUCCUGCGGGAGGCAGCAGUGGGGGGUAUUGCACAAUGGGCGGAAGCCUGAUGCAGCGACGUCGCGUGAGGGAUGGAGGCCUUCGGGUUGUGAACCUCUGUUUCCGGUGGUGAAGGCCCUGUCCGUGUGGUGGGGUUGACGGUAGCCGGGGAUGAAGCGCCGGCUAACUACGUG